rnacentral:rRNA from 1 species
GGUAAAACCGCAUCUGGUGAAGGUAGGAAGGGCGCACGGUGGAUGCCUAGGCGCCAGGAGCCGAGGAA